GGGGCGUGCUGCCGCGAGGCUGCUCCCCUCAAAUGCGUCGGUUGGGCCUGUGGGUCGAACUCGAAAGGGCGUUGUACCAUCCUCGCUCCCUCGAGAUGCCUCCCCUCCCGUGCCCCUCCACGACCUGCCUCUGAAGGGUGGCGGUCAAAACCUUUUUGAAAUCUGACCUCAAAUCAGGUAGGACUACCCGCUGAACUUAA
rnacentral:misc_RNA from 1 species